rnacentral:rRNA from 1 species
UACGUAGGGUCCAAGCGUUGUUCGGAAUUACUGGGCGUAAAGCGCGCGUAGGCGGGUUUGUAUGUCGAUUGUGAAAUCCCCGGGCUCAACCUGGGAACUGCAGUCGAAACUGCAAAUCUUGAAUGUCUGAGAGGAUGGCGGAAUUCCCGGUGUAGUAGUGAAAUACGUAGAUAUCGGGAAGAACACCUGAGGCGAAGGCGGCUAUCUGGCGGUACAUUGACGCUAAGGCGCGAAAGCGUGGGGAGCAACAGG